AACUACACAACUUGGACGUUUCUUUAAUAGGAAUCCAUUUCCGAAUAUGGAUGUUCUACAUAGAGCAGACAAUGAUAUCGACAUACACUAUAGGUGGGUUAUCUUAUCCUGCUAUAUUUUCUUAAAUGGAAGGAAAAUCUACAACAUUUUCGUUUUCAAAAGAACAACGUUAGUGGGAAAUAGCAGCAAAAGAGUGGAUUGACUGAGAUGGCGAGAAAGAAUCGAAUGGAUUUGCUUUUACACGGCGUCUAUUGUCUGCAGAGGGUAGUGGACAGGAGCUACAUUAACCGUCUGUCCCCCAGUCAAGACAAGACACCUGGGAAGCAUGGCAGGAAAAAAAGUGGACUAGAAGGGAACCUUUUUUCUCUUCGAGGACUAACGUUACUUAUCGGAGGAAAGUAAACGUUCUCAGAUUGUUGUCAGAAUACUUUAAUAUUCCACAUGGAAAUUGUUAUCAACAGCAAUACCAAGUAGUAGUAGAAUAGCUGCACUAGGCCUAUUCAUUUUGGGAUCAAUAUAAUAGUGAGAAUAACCAGACAUUACAAAUAGUGUUUUAAUUGUAAUUAAGGGUUAAUAAUCUUACUGAUAUUUGACAUUUUUUUACUUUCUUUUGAAGUUUUCUGUUUAAAAAAAAUCAAGCAUCCUGUUGUAUAGCGGAUUCGGUUCAAGUCAGUGAAUUGUUAGAUCGAAGACAGAUGACAUUGAUUAAAGGUCAGUUAAUAGUU